GGCGAUCCGAUACCAUUUAGUAAAACAGCUAUAACUCCCUCAUCCGAUGUCGGAUCUCAAUGAAAUUGGUAUCGAUGGAAAGAUUAUUCAAUACUCUACAUGAAAAAAAGUAGAAAUUAGAGAAAUACAAUAUGUUUUAAAAAUCAAUCACUAUGGAAGUCAUAUAUAUCCACCCAAAAGAUGAAUUUAGGCUUAGGAAAUGAUCGGGGUAUUACAAAGGAUAACAAAAUAAUUUAUGCAUUUUUCUAAAUUAUGAAUUUGACACGUCAAUAAUUUGUUUGAUGCAAGAAAAAAUGUGUGAGAAAUACUAACAUUUAAAAUUAAUAAUUUUGCUAAAAUAACAGCCUAAAAGGAGCAUCGGGUGGUCAAAAUUGGGUGUCAACAUCCUUAAGGGUGCACCAUGAGUUAUGGGAACUGAGCAUUCUGUAAAGCAUGAGUACAUGAGUCAUGAGCUGCAUGACCUAGGUUUGGAGUUAAUAACUUCAUGGAAUGUGAGAAUACUUCUGAGUGACUGGGAACUUCUUACACUAGGAACUGGGAGCGUACAUGAUUCUCUAUGUAGUGCAUGAACAUGAUUUAUGAUCAUGAAGCUGACGUGUAAGGUUUGAAUAGAUGUCGUGAUGACUGAAGUACAAAUUUUUUUACACUGAGGUAAGAAUGGGUCGGGCAUCUUCCUUCCCUAAUGUUGUUCUACAACACACCGAAAUCACUAUUAGAAUCUUAAUACUUGACUUAGUUUCUUGUUCUAUCAUCUUCACCUUGGAUUUAAGUUAUCAUUCUAAGUCUGUGGGCCUCUGUACUAAACUCUAAACUGAACUACGAUCACACUACUGUUGAGCUUAUGACAUAAUCAAUACAUACAAAUACUAAACUUUUCUUGAAAGACUAUACCUGAAAGUGUAAAACCCACUGCUAAUACUUCCUUUUGAGAUAGAACUCUUAACUUUCUAUAGCACCAACAGUCAUUAUAUAACAACUUAAGUACCUACUAACUUAGAAUCUUAGGGAGUACCACCAUACCCUGAGUUCACAUCAACUAGAAUUUCAAAACUCUUCUUUCUAUUAGCUCAAUCACCCAAGAUUCUAACAUCUAACAUGGAUAUCCACAGAACUUCCCAUACACUAAUACCCACUUAUUACAUUAAAGAGGAAUCAUGAAACAGUAACCAACAUAAAAUUUUAUGAACAUACUCAACCUUACAAGCUUUUCUAUCAUUAGGGUCACUUCCUAAUAUCUAUACCAACUAUAUCUAUAACAUACUCUAAGUCUCACUUAACAUGAGAAAUCUCUCUUAAAGUGGUAUUAAAUAAACUACAUAAUAUCUUUCUGGAUCCAUGAAUACAUAAUCUACUAAAAUCAAAUAAAUACUAUCCCACUUUACUAAUGUUAAACUUAUGGGUUUAUGCUUCUAACUUUAAGUCAUAUACUGUCAUAGGAUUCUAAAAAGGGAUCUGAGGGCAUAUCUGACUUUGGCUCAAUGCACAAUUUUCAUAAAUAAGAAUGAUCACUUUUAAAGUCUAGAAAUUAAGAGCACUGAUGGGAUCCUUUUAAUCCUGAAUGCAAUCUCAUAACUAUCUGUGGGGUAUGAGAAAACUCUAUCUAUAUGAAUUUAAGCUUGACUAUUUCUGUUACCUAAAAAAAAAGGUAGAGUUGACAUAAACGGAUUAACGUAAGAAUCUGCACAAGUUUCUUAGAGAACAUCUCUACUACACGAUCUGAGAUACGAAAAAAAAAAUUUCUUAAGUUCCUUGUGGCCUCUUGAAGAAAAGUAUAGAUAUAUCCAUACCAUUCCUCAAGAAUCUACUAGAUACGACUUCAUAGAUACCCUAGGACACUUGAACAUUAUGCUCUCAUACCAAGUUUGUCAUGAUCGAGACUAUCCCUUACUCGUAAUAUGGUGCUUAGAACCACAAGUGAUCCCAAGCUAAUUCAUGUAUUGGCAUAUUAUUGAGAAAUUGAUUUAAAAUGUGUAUACAAGCUAAAUUUGCUGAGCGGAAGCAUAAUCAUGAUAAAAAUCUGAAUGAAUGAAUUACUGAUCAAGUUUACAACAUGAUAAAAUUGAAAAAAAAACUUGAAAUUUCAUGAAUAACUCUGACUGACUAUCUUUGAAUCCUCUACUAUAAUGAUAAUAAGCUGUUGGGACAUGCCUCCAGCUACUACUAACCAAUACAUAUGGAUAAUCAAAAUACAACAUAUGAACUGCAAUGGACUAAAGUCCCCAAAAUAAGAGAACUCAUCACCUGCUGGUUGAAUACUGAGAACUGUCCGACCCUAGUGUGUGGAUUACAUCUGGUACCUAUAUUAUAAAAAAAUAUAGCCAUAUAUGAUCAGUAAUUUGGAAUGUAUUAAGUAUAUGGGGACAUGCACUAAUCAUGAAAAUAUUUAAAAUAUGCUUUAAAACUGAGGAUAUAAGUUAUUUUUUGAAACAUACAUUUAAAAUAUAGCUAUAUGUGGAAACUGUAAGUCAUAGUAAGAUUUAUAAAUGUAAUACCCCACGAUUUUCCUAGCUUAAAUUCAUCCCUAGAGUGUUAAGGGAUAGCUUCCAAAACAAAUACCAUUUAUUGGUGUGGAAUUCCUUAUAUUUGGACUUUCCCUUGAGUAGAAAAUUGAAUUAGCUUUCCUUAUAUUCAGGCUUAACAUGGAUUAAACGCUAUAGUUUUGGGAUUAAAAGAGUGGAGAAAAACCAAAAAACCCUUAGAAACCUUUUGGAAAUUGUUUGGAAGCCGUCCCGAUGACUUAGGUAACGACUCGUAAGGUCAGGCGACGAGUUGUGACUUGGUCAUCAUCAAAAACCCUAUUUCAGCCUCUAUCACCUUGUUUAUGACUCCUUCCCCAGGACCAGUAAGGAGACAUUAUGAGUCGUAAUCUGGGCAGCUUUGAUAAUGCUUCAGUAUUUUGGCCAUAACUUUUCACCAUGAUAUUGGAUUAAUCCGAAAUUUCUAUAAUUAGAAAGGUAAUUCAAUUAUAUGUAUGUUGGUGGGUCUUGCACUCAAAAAUUCUUUGUAUAAAGUUAUGCUCAUUUGAAAUUGACUAUAGUUAUAUACAUUCCAAGAAUUUAAUCGUUUAGGAAUGUUUUGGCUUGUUUAUAAGCUAAAAGAUAUUUGGGGUCUUAAAAUAUGUCUAAGUCAAUUGUAAAACAACCAAAAAUAUGAGGCUUAAUUCUUGGAUCCUUUACUGGUCAGGCUACGAGUCUUCAUAACAACUCAUAAUAUCUAGAUACGAGUCAUAUGCUGGACUCGUAACCACUGAGAUGGAUUAUUGGAUGAGCACUGUUGUGACUACAAUUACUCAUAAUGACUCGUAAGUUCUAAUUACAAGUCAUCACAUGAGUCGUAACUGUUGCUGCUGAUUGACACUUAAAGGAAAAAUUGUAUAACUUCUUGCCAUGAUAUCAAAUAGAGGCAAGACUUAUGGCGUUGAAAAAAUAACUUCAUGGGCUAUAUUUUGAGAGAUUUAGAACAUAAAACUUGGGGUUUUAUAAAAUUUUAAAGUUUCAUUCUUUUUUUGGAGAUUCUGGAAGGGUAGACUACCAAUUGGUGAAAUGCUAGUGAAGAUGAUAGUAGCGGCUAACAUGGAAUGUUGUUGUUGUGCAAAUAACUAUCAGGAAAUUUUUAAUCACUUAUUUGUAAGUUGUACUGGCUUUUAUAAUUUGUGGACUAUUUUUUCAAGAGAUGCAAGGAUUUAGGGACCUUUUCUUCAUAUAAGUCAUAUCCUAAAUAUAUGGUGGUAUGCAGAUGUGGGGGCUAAAGGCUAAACUAAAGCCUUUAUAUAGUGCAGUGCCAAUAUUUAUCCUUUGGUAGAUACAGAAGAGAAGAAAUAUAAUUAGGCAUGGUGGUAGAAUGUCAUAUCAUGCUAUGACUAGGAACUUCCGCCUAAAGAUAAAUCAUUAAUUCAAUUAGAGAUAAUUAACAUGCCAACGUUGGGGGUUAAAAAGUGUCAGAAUAAAGCUUUCAAAGUUCAGGUGAUAAAUCAGAGACAUUCAAUAAUUCAACAAACCAGCUACAAAAUUAAUUGCAUCACAAAGUGUUGGGACAACAUAAUUUAUCUAACAAAGAACUUAAAUUGAGUAAUCUAUUUCUGAAACUGAGAAGUGCUUAAGAUCAAGUACCUGCUAGAUCUGAAUUCUUAUGCAGUGGUAUUAGCUCUUUGGAGCUCAGCUUGCAGAGACAAAAGGUUGGUUAGGUAAGCUCCUUCGAGUAACUUUAGUACUGAAAUUAGGAAAGAUAUCAAUCUUAUUGAGGUGGUAUAAUAUGGUAAACUGAUUUUAAGCUGAAGAAGUCUUUAUUGAGUCCAAAUUCAUGGCGUUUGUGAUAAUUUUAAGAGUCUAGGUAAAUUUCACUCGAGCUCAGUUUUGAUGGAACAUCACAUUACUUCAUUAAGUUGAUAUCGUAGGAGAUGAAGAUAUAUUGGACAUGUCCAUUGGACUUCACCGUUGAAGAUGCAUUUUCUCUCUCUAGUCUCUCUAGAUUUUUUCUAAUUGAUUUUUUAUUUCUUGUCCUUUGUUAUAUUAGAAGAUUAGAAGAUUGUUAUUAUUUUUGGACUUGGGUUACUAAUGGGCCCAAGUCUUUUACUUGUAUAUAUUUUCUGUUAUUGAAUAAAGGGUAUA
rnacentral:lncRNA from 1 species